rnacentral:lncRNA from 1 species
ACUGGGUACAGGUGGAGCUGCGCUGGCCGCCCCGGUCGCCUUCCCCCAGCCUCCCUUAGCAGGGGGGCGACUUUGGCUGGGCUCCUGUCCUCGUUGCACCCACCACAUCCUGGCACCCCCAUCUGGUAUCACGUGUUUCCUUGCUGUCCCCUUUCGCAUGGGGACCUGCAGAACUGGAAGCAGCGCGGUGAAGCGGGACACCAACUGCAGGCCCCACCCGCACCCCAGCUCCACGUAGCUCCCCUUCCCUGCACCCCUGCCGGGAGUGCGCUGGGGCAUGGGAACACAUUCUCCACAGUCCAGGGAAGAAGCUGACUGCGGGGCCUGAAGAAGUCCUCUUUCACGGCUCUGCUCCCGGAAUGUCCCCGAUGGACCCUUCACUCCGUGUCAGGGGUGGAGAGGAGGCUCGUUUCUCUCAUUCCUGCUAAACUGAGAAGCAAAUGGUCCUGAGAAGCCCUCUAACCCGCCUUCACUCCGCUCCCCGAAAAACGGAAAGAGGGAGGAGGAGGAGGAGCCGGAGGACCAGAGGGGGAGGUAGGGAGGAAGACGGGCGAGAGUCCUCGGGUUUCCAGGGCUUUUCUAUCCUUCCCAAGCUCAGCCUUUUUUGCCUUCCUCUUCAAACGCCCCCCUACAGCGCCCCCCCCCAUCUUCCUCCUAUUCCUGGGUCAGUGUGCUGCAGGACUAGUUGGAGCCUUUUCGGCCCGCCCCAGGCGCCGUGGUUAGCUGUGGAAACAGUCGCCACCCCACCUUGCAAUGUUUCCAUCGCUGCGCCCUCCAGCUUCCACGACUCACCCCACAGAGCCUUAACUGUGAGUACAGCAGGACUCAGGACAACCCAGAAAGAAAAAGAGCUGAAGCCUCAUUUACUGUGGAAAUCAGUACCGCACAACUGGUUAGAAAGAAAUCAGGUUCUCUAAGCACCAACAAAAUUUGUCUUUUAAAUGUUCAACAGAACUGUGGGCACUUGGCAGAAGAGGAAAGCCAAAUGGCCAGCAUGUGAGGACACACUCACUCUCGACCUUAAUUAGGGAGAUGCACAUCUACACAACGAGAUGCCAACUCAUCUGUCAGAGUGACGGAAUUGAAAAGACCUGACAAAACUAAGAAUUAUAAAGCACGUGGGUAAAUGGAAACCUGUCCACAACUGGUGUGAGAAUAAACUGGUACCAUCACUUUGGAGAGAAAUUUGCCAGUAGCUAGCUAUGGAGGCUGAAGAGAAGCUCGUGUUCCAGGUCAGUCACUGUUCUCAAGGUCAACAUCCUCUCGAAGCCCUUCCUUUCCCAAGCUGACACCCUAGAGAAAACCUUGCACACAGACUGUAGGAAAUGUUCACAAGGAUGCUCGCUGUAGCAUUAUUUAUAACGGCAAAAACUAGAACCAGCCUGAAGAUCCAUUAACAAAGGAAUGGAUAAAUGAACAGUGGCAAUUGUCAUCCGAUCUUACUGCUCUUGUAUCUUCCCAAAACAUGAACGACUAUGUACUCCUUUACUUAUUUUUUUAAACGUUUUUAUUCUGGCAAAAUACACACAAUAUUGACUAUCUUCACUAUUUCUCAGUGUAGAGUUGUGUGGUAUUAAGUACAUUCACAUUAUUGUACAGACAUCACUACCAUCCAUCUCCAGAACUCUCAUCUUGCAAAGCUGAAACUCUGUAAAUAAUUAAACAAUAACUCCCAAACCCCUUGCUGCCCCCCGCCCCCCCAGCUCGUGGCAACAGCCAGUCUACUUUCUGUCUCUAUGAACGUGAGUACUCUGCUCCUCAUGUCGGAGUAUCACACAGUAUUCGUCCCUUUGUGACUAGCUUAUUUCACUCAGCAUAACUUUCUCAGGGUUUAGCCAUGUUGUCUUAUAUGUCAAAAUCCCCCCCGCCUUUUUUUAAGUUGAAUAAUAUUCCAGUUGCUUAUCCUUUCAUCUGGGGACACCUGGGUUGCUUCCACAUCGCAGCUCUUGUGAAUGACGCUGCCAAGAAUGUAGGUCUGUUCCUUCACUCCGUUUUAAGUUCAACUUCAAACAUUUUUCAUCAUCAGUAGGUAUAAAAUGUAUCAUUUCCAAUGUGUUGUAAAUAUUGAUGUUUUAAGAUAAAACCUUUAUAUCAUUUUUAACUGUUUCUAAUAGAAUAUAAUGUACCAAUUCCUGUUUUUAAAAGCAAGAAUAAGUUCUUUAACUUUUGAAAAAUUUUCACCAUUCUUUUUUUCCCUAUAAUUUAUGAAUUCUACCCAUCUUCCUGCAAAGAAGUUUAUUGGAAUUAAUGUUUUUAUGCUUGAAGAUCUUUUAUUGAUCAUACUUCUCUGCCAAAAGAGCAUAUAAAAUGAAAUUUUAAU